rnacentral:rRNA from 1 species
GACGAACGCUGGCGGCGUGCUUAACACAUGCAAGUCGAACGAAAAGAGGGAAAGAGCUUGCUCUUUCCGGAAUUGAGUGGCAAACGGGUGAGUAACACGUAAACAACCUGCCUUCAGGAUGGGGACAACAGACGGAAACGACUGCUAAUACCGAAUAAGUUCCAAGGGCCGCAUGGCCCAUGGAAGAAAAGGUGGCCUCUACCUGUAAGCUAUCGCCUGAAGAGGGGUUUGCGUCUGAUUAGCUGGUUGGAGGGGUAACGGCCCACCAAGGCGACGAUCAGUAGCCGGUCUGGGAGGAUGGACGGCCACACUGGAACUGAGACACGGUCCAGACUCCUACGGGAGGCAGCAGUGGGGAAUCUUCCGCAAUGGGCGAAAGCCUGACGGAGCAACGCCGCGUGAGUGAUGACGGCCUUCGGGUUGUAAAACUCUGUGAUCCGGGACGAAAAGGCAGAGUGCGAAGAACAAACUGCAUUGACGGUACCGGAAAAGCAAGCCACGGCUAACUACGUG